GGCUGCCGUCUCCCCUCGCCCACCUCGACGGCCAUGUUCGUGGGUGGGGAGAGGCCAGCCCGAUCCUCGGACUGCGGGACUCGCGGGCUACUUUAGGAGGAAGAGCAAGCUCCAUAACAGACAGAAGUUUAGAUUGUCAUUCCCAACUGCUAAUCAGGAAGCAGAAGUUAAACUCUUAGCAAAAUGGCAGCACCUGGAAAGACAAAUGGAGCCAAACUACCUGGGUUCAAAUCCUGACUCCACCACACGCUACAUGAGGAAACAGAGGCACAUAGAGAUUGAAGAGCUUAUGUGAGCUCACCAGGCUGGUCAGUGACAGAGUUGGGAUUCCAAUCUGUCUCUCUGAUCCUAAACCCGCUACCCUGAGACAGAUGGGAAGAAAGGGGAAAUGGGAAGACCUUCAAAACCCCUACUGCCCAGUUCUGUUCAGAGCAGAAUAAAGACUAUCAUGGAGAAGAAGGCUGCCACACAGAUAAAGAAACCGAGACUCAGAGCGGUGAGGUGACUUUCCCAGGGCCUCAGAGCCAGCGAACAGCAGGGCCAGGAUCAAAACCCAGCCCUGCCUGAUCCUGAAGCCCGAGAUUCCUGCCACUGCCCCACUUAAGAGAAGGAGUCUCAGAGAAAGAACACAGAUGGAGGCUGCCCUCUUCUGCCCCCUGUAACCACAGCACAGCUUGUCCCAGGGGGUGGGGGACAAGAGUUCCUUUUCCCAAAGCACAGUAGGCACAACCCUAUGAUAUUAGGAGGUGGGCAGAAGUCCAGUCUAGAGGCCCCCGCUCAGUGGGAGCCUCUGACACCUACUCACCAUUGCCAGAGGUAGAAUAUUCCAGACAUCUCCAACUCUGAGCCCAGGGGCCCCUGAUUCGGCCAGGCCUUGCUUUCCACUGUUCCUGUCCACUCUCUCCAGCCACGUUUGUCUCCCCAAUACUCACCUCUAUAAGCACCCUGUUUAUAGUUGCAUUCCUUUGAUUGCCACAUCCUUUUUCCUCCUAUACUUUUAUUUACUUAAUAUUUUUCGUUAAAGUGACUAACUCGUAUAAUCUGACCUCUUCCUGAAAAAUAGCCACAAAAUUGCAGCCAUAGUAUGCUCAUCAUUCAUGUUGAAAUCCAUAGAAAUAAACAUGCAACUAUUAGAAUAAAAUUUGUUUAUUCUUGUACCAAUUAAAAGUAUCUAAAGUUGCACCAGAAAUAAGAGUAUCAAAUUCCAGAAAACUCUGGCCUACAGAAACUGAACUAAUCUCCACAAUGACUUUUGCACGGCAGUGUUAUCCUUACCCUCAAUUUGACAAAGAGGAAAUUGAGCAUCAGGGCGGCUUGCCACCCAAGGUCACAUAGCCAGUGAGUCGAGGAACCCAGGUUGCCUGAUUACUGAUGCCCCACUUUCCCUACUGACCUGAAAAAUACAGUUACCUCUGCUUCUCCAUCACCAACUCUUCCCUAAGUCUCUGGCAGUGGCUUCUGGGCCACUCUGCCAAGGCUACCAUCCAAAGAGCUGUCCAGUAGCCUUCCCUUUGUUGAAGCUCCUGUUUUCUUUUUUUUUUUCCAACUAUCACUGCAUUUUUUUUUUUAAUUUUUUUCUUGUUUUUUUAAAUUAUACUUUAAGCUCUAGGGUACAUGUGCACAACGUGCAGGUUUCUUACAUAUGUAUACAUGCGCCAUGCUGGUGUGCUGCACCCAUGAACUCGUCAUUUACAUUAGGUAUAUCUCCUAAAGCUAUCUCUCCUCCUCUCCCCACCCCACAACAGGCCCCAGUGUGUGAUGUUCCCCUUCCUGUGUCCAAGUGUUCUCAUUGUUCAAUUCCCACCAAUAAGUGAGAACAUGUGGUGUUUGGUUUUUUGUCCUUGCGAUAGUUUGCUGAGACUUAUGGAUUCCAGCUUCAUCCGUGUCCCUACAUUCUUGCAACCUUUGGCACUGUCAUAUUCAGUCUGUGAGCCCUCCCCCUGCAGCCUUUGAGGCAACUGGGAAAGAGCAAUCAAGAUUCUGCAAGGGAGGAAGCCAUGCAAUGCCUCCAAGUUGUCUAAAACGGGCACAUUCUAACUCUCCCUCCCCAAAUGACAGCUUGAAGAGAGGUCUUCCCUGAGUCUAAGCUCCUUCAUGCUACAAAGGCCAGCAAAGACAUGUGAGAUUUCUGCAGCCAAGAUCAAUGUUACAGAUGGUUGAUUUCAUGAAACAGAAAUCCACACUGAACCACUUAAGCAAAUAAGAAAUUCAUUGGGAAGAUGGGGGAAAGCUUUCAAAUUAAAGGAAAACUGAAACAAACAUACAAACCAGAUCUCAGAAAGAGUAAGAAACCAAAAAUCCAGGUAGCGGUAGCAAAAGGGAAUCUGCCAGGGCCCUGAGGAUGAAUUGUGUUCACACAGUCACUAUUUCUGUGUGACUCCCUUUAUUUAAACUCCAGAGCAAUCUCAGGUUCUGAGUUCACCUCUUAGCUGGGCAUUGGACAGGAUACCUUGAUUGACAGCCCCACCAAUCCCGUUCAUGGCAGAGAAGGGGGUGCUCAUACCAGGAGCAUCAGGGCUGUCUUAUCAUAAUGAGGAGGGAUGGGUACUGACAUCCAAGAUCACCACCACAUCACCUUUAGAAGACGCCAAGGGGUCCAUUAUUUUCACAGUCAAGGCAAUUCUAGGUCCUUAUCAGAGCUGUGAAAUGAUGUAGGUUUCAGUGUGGAUGUUCUCAGAUAACCAGCUAGACUAAAGGAGGGUGAGAAGAAGUUCUCCUGAGGAGGUCUUGGCCUGCAAGUGAUUCUGCCUCCAGAUAACUGUCAAGUCCCUUGGUGGUGACCAGAGGUCUAGGGAGAAUUUUGCAGGUUCCUACUCACUCAUUCUCGAAGCCUCUGUGAUGCCUGCUUCCAAAGAUUGGCACACAAUCUUUCCCAUCCCACGUGCCCUUUUGCAAAUGUGGCUUUGCUACUCCUCCCACUAAGAGAUGAAAUCUAUUCUCCCCACCUUCUUGAAUCUGGACCAGCUCUAAGAGUUGCUUUGACAAAUAAAAUAUAGUGGAUG